rnacentral:rRNA from 1 species
AUUGAACGCUGGCGGAAUGCUUUACACAUGCAAGUCGAGCGGCAGCGCGGGGCAACCUGGCGGCGAGCGGCGAACGGGUGAGUAAUACAUCGGAACGUGCCCAGACGUGGGGGAUAACUACUCGAAAGAGUAGCUAAUACCGCAUAUGAUCUAAGGAUGAAAGCGGGGGAUCGCAAGACCUCGCGCGUUUGGAGCGGCCGAUGGCAGAUUAGGUAGUUGGUGGGGUAAAGGCUUACCAAGCCUGCGAUCUGUAGCUGGUCUGAGAGGACGACCAGCCACACUGGGACUGAGACUCGGCCCAGACUCCUACGGGAGGCAGCAGUGGGGAAUUUUGGACAAUGGGCGAAAGCCUGAUCCAGCCAUUCCGCGUGCAGGAUGAAGGCCCUCGGGUUGUAAACUGCUUUUGUACAGAACGAAAAAGCUCUGGUUAAUACCUGGAGUCCAUGACGGUACUGUAAGAAUAAGCACCGGCUAACUACGUGCCAGCCGCCGUGUAA